ensembl:lncRNA
GGAACUCAUAUUAAGAAUGUGCCUCGUUAUCAAUCACUGGCUAGUUUCUCUAGACAGUUUCCUGAGCUUCACACCCAUAAACCUUGUUAUUUUAGUGUGCUGCCUCCAACUUCCUGAUAUAGGGUUCCAGUAUAUGACCUAUAAAAACUUUAGCUUUCAGUUUUUUGAGCACUGUAUUAAAAACUGCACAUUUUAAAUCCUUUCUGACAUGCCUGCAUGAAAGCAUAAUCUUUCUUAUCAAAAGUCAUAAAAACAUUUGAAGAAUCAAAUCCUCCCAUUUAAGAUAAAGGAAAGGUUUAUUUUGUAUCACUCAAUUGCUAGUGGCUACCAUGAGACUCUUAAGCAUAACUCAGCUGAGAGAAUUUCUUACUUAUACAGUUAAAACCCUGGGAUUUCCUUCCCAUUAGCCUUUUGUGAUACCCUCUCUCUGCUUAAAAUCCUAGGACUCCUCUUUUCACUUCCUUCAUACCUGACUUUUCCCCUUGUCCUGUUGGUCUAAGCUAGGCCAUAGAUGCCUCCCACCUCUACAAUGGACACCUAAGACUCUUUCUUACGAGACCAGUCUAAGCAAUGUGCAAACAUCCUGACUGUCAUGCAUUCCAGUGAGGGGGAAAUUCUGCAGAGAUGUGCCUAAACUCAUCACAGCUGCUCUACCAUCUGACAACCUGAUGGUCAUGGGGGACCUCAAUGCACGUGUUGGCGGUAAUACCAAAAUGUGGAAAAAAAUUAUUGGACCACAGAGGAUUAGUCUCUUCCUGCAUGUUUCCCCAAGGACUCUGUUUCCUGACCUCAGUUUGAUUACAUCCUUCAAAUUGGUAUUUAGAAUGAUGGCUUCUAUUUUGCUUCUAUAAAUGUCCUAAGACCAUACAGAGUAUCUGGUCCUAGCAGAGUUCAAGGACAGUGAUUUCACCUCUUAUUUGUCAAAGGAAAAAUUGGCCAUAUGCAGUCUCCAUGGUAAAAGCUAGUGGUAAGUUCACUUCAUGCCUUUUGCAAACUGGCUUUCUAAAAUACCAUGGAUAAACCUUUACAAUAUCCAUAAAGAAACAAUUAUUUUCAAUGAUGUGAAAUUAAUGUAUAACAAUAUCCUUUUCCUGAUUACCCUGUUCUUUUGUCCACUUUUUGCAAUAGUCCUUUUUUCUUAGAGAAGGUUGUAUCCACCAAUUGAAUUAAAAUUCAAGUGUUUAAUACUUUAAAAUGAUAUGAGUCAAGUGUGGUAAGAAAUUCAUGAUGGGGGAAAUCAAAGUCUAAGUUUCUGAGAACACUAGUAAAUGUAAGAAAAAUCGCCUCUUAUGAAAUGAAGUGAGUUCUAUGACAUUACAACACGAGUUCUAGCCUGAGCAUAGUGUGUGAAAGUUUAAUAAACCCUUCUCCCUAUCUUUCUCUCUGACAAUACCCUCCUCCCAUGAAAGGUUCUGCAUGAGUUCAUAUAUAAAGGCAAUGUUCCCAGAGAUUAAAAUAAAAUAAAAUAUUUUUAAAAGGCCAUGUAAAGUGUUUUGAACUAACUAGCAAUGCAUUUUUUUGUAAAAAUAUGGCUACUUCGUAAAACUGUUUGAACCAAGUUAUCAUUGGGACAGAAUAAAGUCAAGAGCUGAAAAAAAUAAAACUUACUUUGCAGAUCAUUAAAAUAUGCUUCCCCCACUUGUUUUCUUUUUCUUCUUAGUACAUUUGGGACAGUAAGAGACUUAUUUGCUUUUUAAUGUUCCAUAUGAGAUUUAAGGGAACAUAGUUUCCUCUCUCCCAAAGGUAGGCAUGGCUUGGAUCAUUGCUAAAAUAAACAGUGCACAAUAUAUGGCAAGAUUGUGGCAAUGUCUUUUUUCUAGGUGCCAAGAUUUCAAAGGAUAACAUUGCUUUUGCUUUUAAUGACUCUGGGAUCUUACAUUGUACAACCCUGAAUAUCAGAUUUUGCUCUGUGAGGUCAACACUAUUAAUGAUCAGGCUAGGAAUAAAAGGGCAUGGCCACCUUUGGAAAAUUCCAAAGUAACAAGACAAUUUUUUCAUCAGAGUAUUAAAGUAUUUUUUUCUCCAGUGAAAGGUGGAAAGAAUUGGAGAAUGGGUGUCAUUCCGCAGAGAGAAAAGGGCAGCCACCUCUCGUGAGGCUCCAUCCUCAAGCACAGCAUCCCAGUGCCACAUCUUGCUCCCAUUACUGCUCUUUUCAAC